ACAACACAUGAGGUGUUCUUCAAGAAUUAUACAACAGAAAAAUUGAGUGUAAAUUCAAUUUUAGCAGAUUAGGUUUUAUUUUAACUGCAUCGGGAAAACCACAUAGAUAAAACUAUCUUAUUGUUUAUCCUUUACAAUUUUAAAGCAAAACAAACACAACAGCAUUUUAUUUAUUUAAUUGUAGUGCAUCCGUAUUUUCACAUAUUGGAUUUUAAAAAAUCUCUGCUUACAAGAAGAAACGAAAGCCCAAACAAGAAUGUAGUAUGUAAGCGAGUACAAAAUGAGAUAGAGUAGAAGGCAAACUGAUUACCUAAGUCCCAAGAAGUCAGGAAACAAAGUGUAACUCAGAUCCAAGCAGGGUUAACCAGGAAAGGCUGCAUUUCUGUGUGUACCUGCUGCUUUCUUCAGCACUGCACUGUACAACAUUCUGGGGCAGCCUGAGAGAUGCAGACUAUACAAAUAUAGUCUCACAUCUCACCACCAAAGCACAAACAUUCCAGAGGCAUGGAAGCCAAAGUGUAAACACUUCUGCAGUCAACUCUUAACUAUUCACAUUUACAGAAGGAAAGAGCAAAGGCACCACUAAUCCAAGAAUAGAUAAAUGGAAAGAUCACUGAGUUAGCUUUGGAAUACACUCUUGCAUAUAGGUGUAUCCAUGUUCAAGGAACUCACAAGUCUGUUAUGAAUAUUAGUCAUAAGGAGUUAGAAACUUUCUCCAGGAGUCAGAAACCUUUUCACCAUUUAUUACAGCUACUGGAAAUAGAGAAUUAACUGGACAAUCUCAAAGACACAUUCUUAGACUGGUAACUAAAGUUCCAUUGACUCCACCAGACAACUAUAGAACUAUACACAAUUUUGGAAUUUGGCAAAAAAAGUAUGGCAUGGACAAAUAACCCUGUUCAAAAUUGAAAAUAAACAGCAGGAAACAAUUUUUAAGAAUUCUAUAAAAGUACUGAAAUUCCCUUUCAAUUGCUGCAAGUUACCUCAUUUCAGUUGUCUUGUUUUCAUUGCCUCUCUGCUCCUUUCAAUAUAUUCGGUUUUCUUGUUUUCAUCUUUAAUACACUGAGCUCUCUCUUCAUUUCUUGUGCCAGGUCUGCUGCUUCACCUUCAUGAGCUGUCUUCAGAACCUUGCUCUGGAUGUUCUCCUUGAAAGCUCUUGUCCAUGAACAUUUCAGAUAAAAUCUUAUCAAAGCUUCCUCCGUCAUCACUCUGAGUCAAAGAAAGUCACUCUGCUAAACUUUACAACAGAACUUUUGCUAUGUGCACUUGGAUGGACAUCGUAAGCUUCCAGGGAAGAAUUAAAGAGAUUAGGUACUCCUUGCCCAUGAUGCACAAUGACACUGGAUCCUUUCGUAAACCUAAUUUCACAUUUAUAAUCCCAGGUCACAUGCAUCAAAAAAUGAGCCAAAAGUCAUACAAGCCCCUUCAUUCUGAUUCCCACAUAUUUAGAAUGAGUGCAAUAUAAUAUAAACAGCAUGCGAUUCAGAGUCUGAAUUUGGUUCCUAGUGCCACCACUUACUGGCUAUGUAAUCUUGGAAAAGAUCCUAAACUCCUCUGAGCCUGUUUCUUAACCUGUAAAAUGGGGAUACAUAAUAGUACCUCUUAGGCUGGCUAUGAAAAUCAAGGUAACAUAGGUAGAAUGUUUGGCACAGGUACUAAACGUUAGCUAAUAUUAUUAAUGCUUUUCUUAAAAUGAACUUAUUCUAAUUAUUGGCUUUUAGCAUUAUAGUUUAGAUGUCCAUAUUGAACCAAUAUCUCUAUGUGAUUUUUAUCCUGUCAUAAUUGAAGUUUGCCACUGUUGAUCCCCCCUGCUAAGUUGAGAUACUAAUUUGAAAUUUAUGGCCAACAUCUAGCCUGAGUGAUCAUAUUCCACCCGUGUGAAAUUAAGCUCCCUCUUAAUGCUGAAGAUUGAGUAUUUCUCUACAUCUAUGUAAUAUAGUCUGUUCAGACUUAAAAUUUGGAGCAGUGCUGCUAGAUACUGUUGAAUCGAACAGAGAGGGAAAGGGUUAUUAUGGCAGGAAGAGAAAUGAAGAUUACUUAAUGAACUUGCAUUUCAAUUGAGCAGGGUUUUUAAUACAAAAGAAAGAGCUUUUUAUAAAUUCUUUUGCUCAGCAACAAUAAAAAGAGGAAAAGAGCACUCAGCUGGGAACAAUAGCUACUCAGCUCAUAAAAAAUCAUUAGAAGGAACAUUUUCUUUGUCCACCAUGCCCAGCAAUUUUGCUGGUGGGCAAUUAUCCAGAUCACUUAGGUUCCACCUAUAAAAAUGAGUCCAGAGAACCUUCUCAACUUUUCCAGCUAAUAAAUUAUGCUAACAGAAGUCCUCAUCUCUUAAUGUGUGUAAUGCCACCAUAAAUAAAAUUUUGACUCAUAAUUCAUGGAAUGUUUUUGACAAGUAGAUGAUACUGAUCCAGCCAUUAAUAGGAUUUGCUCUUUGGGUUGCUUUUCCAUUAGAAGGGACGGACUAUGCUGACACAUUUACUCAUUCCCAUCAAAUCCUCCUUGCAGCCAGGAGCCUCCAUCUAGUUGAUGACUGUUGGGCGAGGUGCAGGGUGCCCGAGGACAGCAUGGUUCCACUGUGUGAAAUUGGCUGGUGUACUUGGAUAUUUAACUUUUCACUGCAGUCUCCGUAGCUCAUCUUAAGUUGGUUGACUCAAGAGAAACUUCAUAUUCUUGACGUAAAGAGCCUGGCUGAUUCAUCUUCUCCCACAAAUGGUAUUAAACCAUAUUAAGCUAAUUGUCAAGUGUGUUCAAUUACCUUAUCAAUAAAAGCUCUUUUCUGUGUUCAAGGUUCCCCAGGACAACCAAAAGAUUUCUGCACAUGAAUAAAAUAUAUUAUUUCUAAUGAUGCUGCUGGGUGAUCAAUCAUAAGCACGCCCAUUAAUGCAACUCUUAUAUGUCUUGUUAAUUAAAAAGUAUGAAGGAAAAAGUUUCCUGUUUAAGAAUGUAUUUUUUUCAGUUUGAACAUGUUGCACAUUUUAAGAAUGAAUUUAUAUCUUUACUGCCUGAUAUAGUAAGUAUUCAAUAUUUGCUGAAUGUCUAAAAUAUAUUUCAUAAAAAGUAAAGUGCUUUGAAGACUAAACAAUGUAUUCCAAGCCCAACAUUUUUUCCUUACUAAACUUCCCUCCACUUUUGACUUUACGCUGAAGACUGGCACCAUCAACUAAAAUCUAAAUAGCUUUCUAUGUUCCCCUUGAAUUAACUGUCCUUGACUUACACUUUCUCUGCAAUCGGAAUUGUUUUAUUUUUAAAAGGCCUUCCUAGGCCCUCAGAUUGCAUCUAAGAUGUAAGUAUGCACAGAAACUGCAAUAUCAACAGAGCUUAAUUAAGCAGAAUAUGCAAUGACAGCAAAUAUGCAAGCGCAAUCUUUACUGAAGACAGGUAACCACUCAAAUAAGCUUUUUACAGAUAAGGAGUUGGGGGGAGGGUGUGGCUGGUGAAAAUUCAGUUUUAUAAGCCUACUGCCAUUUAGAUAAUUACUCCUGAAUAUCUGCAACUGUACUUGUUCACUGCAACAAUAAACAAGACUGAUAUGAUCCUUGCUCUCAGAGAGCUCAUAAUUCAUGAUAUUACUUUUGCUGGAUGCACCAGAAAAAGAGGGAUACAUUUUAACCUUCUACUAUGUAGGUAUAGUUGUGGAGAUCUGGGGAUUAGGAUGGCAUUUUAGCUUGGCCUUCAGCUAUGCCUAGACUUUGGGCAGGUGGACAUCUGGGGAUUGGGAUGGCAUUCUUAGGUACAAGGAUAACAGGAGAAAAGUGAAAACACUAAAGCAUGAGAAAAUUAGUAGGACACGUAUGGGGACUUUAAAGCAAGAAAUAUAUUUUAUCGACUUCAAGGUUCCAUCAAUUUAAUUCAGGAUCAUUAUUUUA
rnacentral:lncRNA from 10 species